AUGGAAGGAACCGCCGGAGUAUUCCAUAGAUUAGCCACAGGAUUUUGGCAAUCUUGCUGUGGCAUCUCGGAUUUCGGAAAUCACGCGCCCGCAGACGCCGCCGUGCCCCCCCUGCAACCACCGCUGGAGUCGGAUGCGAACGCGAUCGCAAUCGCGACGUGUAUAUAUAUACAAGGACGUACUACGUGCACAAGGGCCUGUAAGCAAACCCCAGUGCUCCUGAUCACCAUGCAUUUCUUCCAGGUCGUCAUGGCGUGGAUGUUCCCGUGCGCCAUGUGGGCGGCGAUGGUGCCGGCCGUGGCGACGGCAGCGACCACGGACGGCGCUUCGAGCGUUGAGCAGGGCAGCUCCUCGUCGCCGGCAUUCGGCCCUGUCGACGCUAAGGUGGCCUCCGACCCGGGCUCCUCCCCGGCAUCGAGGUCGUCCACCUCCUCCUCCUUGCUCGGCGCCCGAAGCAGCUCGUCGAACAACGCGUGCUCACCGGUGAGGGAGGGCGGUGACACGGCCGCACGGAAGGGCCACGCGCUAAGGCGGUGCCUGCGCAGGUUCGCCAGAAAUCUGCAGCACGCCGGUGCUGCGGACGAGCGGCCAGACGGGCACGGGAGACGGAAGGGCCGGGCAACGAAGCCGGACGGGAGGGUCGCCGCCGGCGAGGACGGCACCGCCCGGGCGAGGGAGGAGGCCGUCGCGAGCGCGAUCGCCUACUGCAAGGAGUCGAGCCGGCAGCGCUGCAGGCCGCCGUUGGCUCCCUCGCCCUGCUUGGACGGCUGGCUCCUCGUUCGUCCGGAGGAGAAGAUCGGCACCAGCGCCACGAGCGCCGUCUCGCCCUGCGAAUGCGAGGCGCAGGGCACCUUGAGCGCCGCCGCCCCCCACCACGGCCACGCGGCCUGCGAUGGUACGUGUUGUCAACCGAUCCGUCGGUCGAUCUGCUCUGCUGCACCCGUGCACGUCUAA
rnacentral:rRNA from 1 species